GGGGUUGUAGCUCAGUGGUAGAGCGCUUGGUUUGCAUCCAAGAGGCCCUGGGUUCGAUACCCAGCAACUCCA